GCUGCCGCCGCCGCCCGGCCCUGCGGCCCCCCUGCCCCGCGCUGCUGCCGCCGCAGCCGCCGCCGCACCGCGAGGGCCCUGCGCUCCGCCCCGGCCGGGGCCGCGGGGGCGCUCGGAGUCCCGCCCGCACGGCGCGCACACACACACAGGGAUACACACACACACACCGGGACACACGGACACUCACACGCGGGGCACUGGGACACAGACGCGGGCACACGGAGGCGCACCCCGCGCUGCAAACAUGGCGCUGGUGCCCUGCCAGGUGCUGCGCGCCGCCAUCCUCCUGUCCUAUUGCUCCAUCCUGUGCAAUUACAAGGCCAUUGACAUGCCCGCGCAUCAGACCUAUGGAGGCAGCUGGAAAUUUCUGACCUUCAUAGACCUGGUUAUCCAGGCUGUCUUUUUUGGGAUUUGCGUCUUGACUGACCUGUCCAGUCUUCUCACUAGAGGGAACGACAGUCAAGAGCAAGAGAGGCAACUGAAAAAACUCAUUUCCCUCCGUGACUGGAUGAUGGCUGUUCUAGCUUUCCCUGUGGGAGUGUUUGUUGUGACGAUGUUUUGGAGCAUCUAUAUCUAUGACAGGGAACUGGUUUACCCAAAGCUGCUUGAUAAUUUUAUACCAGCAUGGCUAAAUCAUGGAAUGGGUGGGCAGUCUCUGAAGUUCCCUGAUCUGCCCGUGGGACCUGUUUGGCACUGCGGCAACCCAGGAACUAGGCCCCACAGAAGUCCAUUCUCUCUGUCUUCCAUCAUCUGGGAGGUGCUGAACAGAGAGGUGGUUGUGCUCAGCAGUGGUUGCAGAUGAACUGUGGGGAAGAUGAUAUUACAUCAGUCAGCUUUGUUGCUUCCAGGUGUGAUGGACGGGAAGAAGAAUCAUUCCCUGUGUGAGGCACUAACACUAGUCAGACUGACAGACUGAUAAACUGUUUUGACCAGAAGAGCUGGAGAAGACCCUGAAGACAGCAGAAUAAUCGCUGCCUUUCCAGCAGCCCUGUAAAGCUGAGACUCAUGGCACGUACAUGCUGUUCUGUCCAUCAAAUGCAAGAAAGAUUAUGCAGCAUCCACCUUCAGAGGAGUUUGAACCAGUGUCCUCGACUGUGUGGUGCCAGCAUCUUUCAUAUGAAGUCAUCAGAAGCAAAGAGCUUGGGUUCAAAUGUUACGCUUAAGAGAGGAUUCACUCUUAACUGUAUGAUUUAUCCGAGGUUUUGCCUGAAAGGAACUGGCUUACAGGAAGAGUCCUGAUCUGCAUAUCUCUUUAGGGGAAAUGGGCAAUAUUUCCCUCUAUUUUUUUAUUCCUCUGGUUUAAUCUUUGUGUGUAUGUUGAAUAUACUGUGGAAAUUAGCUCAGCAGUAGCAGUGCUGGUGCUUUUUUACAUCUGCAUUCAGUAAUACAAGCAGACUUUCAAAGUAGAUGGUUUGGGUUUCAUUGCUUCACACAUUCCUCAGCUGUGGUUCAAGUCUGUUGUUGCUUUGGCUUAGGGGUCUGUGGACAUUGUGCCAGCAGGAGAAACUAACUGAUCUCAGGUGUUGGAUGUGUGACAGAUACUGUGGCAUGAACUUCUUAGGUGGCAUCUCCUCAUUCCUCAGUGGCCCUUUGAAAGGAUGAAACAGUCUUUUAGCCAGAAGGUCUCUAGCUCCUUUGCCCCAGCUUCGGGGCUUGAAUUACUGGUGGUUUUAGAAUCACGACAGAGUUAGAUAUGAGCAAAUGCUGGAAUAAUGAUGUCUUGAUACUUGAGGAUUCAGGACCCCUAAGGUAUAUUGCACCACUUUGUGAGAGGAGCUCUGGAUUUUAUUAAGCAGCUGAUAUUUAGGAGGACAAAGCAGGGUCUGAGCUUCUCUCAUUAGAAAGAAGCAGAGUUCAAGAUACUAGGCUUGGAUGCUUCUGGAGUCGCUGUCCAUGGAUAAAUGCUCUUAAAGAAGGAAAGACAUUUUCCAGCUCUGCCUUGCAGAAUUUUUCCAUGCAUUUGCUCAACUGGGAGGGACAAGUUAGUUUGGGGGCAAUAAUGGAGAUAGGCUUUUUCAUAAUGUACCAGUCUUAAUUGCAUAUUCUGCAGUGUUUUUCUCUGCCUGGUACAUUUGGCUACACUAAAUCAGAGUGAAUUUAUAAUCUUUUACUUCUGGAGGAGGUGGCAGGAAGGCAGAUGACUACAGUACCUCUUAUAGAAUAUUAUUAUAAAAGAAGUGUGAAUUACCUCCUAGCCUCUCAGGCUGUUGAAAAAUUGAUUUGAAUGACAUUUUCAAGGUGUUGUUUCUAAGACAUUCAGUAAUUGUCAUUCAUCCAUGAAUGGUUAGUGAGAUGAAUAACAAAAAGUUGUUUUGGAUUCAUAGGAGGAAGUGUUAAAAAAUAACAUUUAGAAAGAAACCCUGGUUAUUGUAAAUUCUCUGUAUAUCUAAACAGCUCCAUAGUUAUCUAAGUGGAUUUAGGCAAUCCAGUAAUUGUGAAAAACAUUAUUUGAGAUAUAGAAGUGGAAAGAUCAUUUCCAUUUGUGUGUGGACUCUUCAGAGUUAUCUGACAUGGGCAAAUGCAUACGAUAUUAUGGCACUGUGGCUUUGAGGUAAAUAAAGCAAGCCUCCUUGCUGGUCAUUGCUUAGGCAGAUAAAAUAUAGCAGCAUUGCUUUUGACUUCAUUCAUCCUUUCAGCAAGCAAAUGUCAGAAUUCAAACAUGGCAAAGAGAGAGGACGGAAAUUAGUGAAUCUUAGAGGACUUCAUAUUUGAGUGGAAACCUUGUAAAUAGUUGACCUGCAAGGAGACAUAUACUUACUGGGUAGUUGCAUGUAGGCUUUAGGAAAAGGUUACAAUAGAUUUCUUUCUGAAAAUAUUACAAAGAAGUGGUGUGCCUCAAACCGGAAUGUUUCAUCAGGAUUUAAAGAAGAUCCAUGUAGUUCUCAUAGACACAUGCUAAUGGGUGAAAACAAUGUGUGUUAUUUUGAAGGUGCAUGACACUUAAAACUUGCUGGCAUCUUAGUCUGAAAAUGGAAGGAAUUGUAUAAACACAGAACAUCUCCCUGAGCAGCGCUGGCACAGCAUCAGCACUGUCUGUUUAACAUUUACCCCCCCUUUCAGGGGCUGGAGUGGGCAGGUUCCUGGAAGGGGACACAACCAGGCCAGCUGAGCCAAAUUAACCAAAGGGAUAUUCCAUACCAUAUGAUGUCAGCUCAUAUAUAAAAGCCAAGGGAGGGAGGAGGAAUGUGGAACAUUCAUUAUUUUACAAUGUUCCCCUUCCCCUGUGAAGUGCAACCCCUGUGUGUGCUGAAGCCCUGCAUCCCGGGAAGUGGCUGAACAUCACUUGCCAAUAAGAAGUAGAGAUUAAACUUUUUUUCUCCUUUACUUAUGCAUGUGCAAACUAUAGCUGUAGUAAAAUGCUUUAUCUCAACCUAUUGGUUGUUUUCCAUCUUGUUUUCUCUCCCCUGUCCCACUGGGAAGGAGAAUGAUAGAACGGCUUGGUGGGCACCUGAUGUCCCACCAAGGUCAACUACAGAUACAUGAAUCCUCCAAAAACCUCAUUAGUAGUGCUGAGCUUCCAUACUGUAGGUCUGAUUCCCAAAACUUAUAUCUGCAUGAAAGCAGUCAGUAAAGCAAAUAUUUUUUUGGUUCCUUACAAGAAAGAAACUUAUGCUAAAGGAAUAGGUUUCUAAGGAAAUGCUAAGAGCACUUAAUAAAAAAGUUUUCUACCUAUCUACUUCUGUAAUAUCUGUUUAUAGAGUGUGCUUUGACUCACAUGUUCUCCAUCUGCUCUGUUCCGUCUGUCUGUGCUUCUGCCAUGCAUACAUCUGCUUGAGAUGCAAGGUAAGUUCCCCAUCUCUACUGAGAAGCAAGCAGAGAGUAUAAAUAUUUUUUGCCACAUUAAUAGCAAGAAUUUGCAUUUAUGAAGUGCAUUACAUUGUCUCUAGUGACUUCUGCACCUUGCCUACCCUCCUUUUUUUCCCUGAGCUCUGAAUGUCCAGUUGGCUUGGUUUUUGCCACUGCUUUCUUUUUUUUUUUUUUUUCCUGUUCUUGAAAGAUUUUUGGAAUGUUAAAAAUACCAGUGAUGUGGGUCAUUUCUUUUCUCCCAUUCCACAUUUUAAACCAGAACAUCCUUAAACAAUAAUACUUUUUCUCCAACCUCCAUAGGCUCUCUUCUUUGGAGGACUUCAUAGCUGCACAUAAAGCCUGCCUGUUGCUGUGACUGUGAAUGAAGCUGCUCUUUGUCUUCACACAACAGUUUUGCCCUUUGUAUUAAUCGAGAUGAGAACAACACAUCAUCAGUAUCCCAGCAGGAGCUGUGGACUGGCUGCAGUGUGCACCUUCGCUGUUGGCUAUAUUUUAUG